UCAAAGGCUCCACUUGGAGCCCCAGACACACACAGAACUAAUGAG
rfam:Acanthisitta chloris contig53424, whole genome shotgun sequence.